CUCUCAGUAUGAUGCAAAGACCAGACUGGAGACCAUGUCUGGAAGCACCUCCAUCAGUUCAGCUGACCUGUUUGGGGACGGCAGCGACCAUAAAGGGAGAGCUCCAGGCUUCGACAGCGUGCUGCCCUCCGGCCCGGACAUCGCACAGUUCAAACAAGGAGUGAAGACUGUAGCGGGCAAGAUGGCCGUCCUCGCCAACGGUGUCAUGAAUACAAUCCAGGAUCGCUACGGCUCCUACUGACCCGCCCGGAGAGCGCAGCACCGACCUGUGGGAAGACUUACUAACUGACGCCUGUGAAGAGCCAACCAGCCUCCUGAUUGACACGUGCGUUUGGGCGGAGCAGACGAGAUGGAGACGGGAAGCAGAAAGGAUUGCAUGGGGAAAAUAAAUCGUCCUUCUGUCCCGUCGUCUUGUAGAGACACUUUUACAGGAGUGAGACAGUAUUUUCUUCUCUCAUCCACAUUAGCAGACUCUUGAGUUUUAUUUUCAUAAAGGAAACCAUCGCAGGGUGUAGUUUGUUUUUUUCUAAACCAAGAGUUGUGAUUUACUGUCGAGAAUUAUUUUGGUCCUAGUUUUCAAGAUGACGUCAGAGUUAAUUCGACUAUAUUUUAUUCCUUCUACAUAAAUCAGAGUGUUUUUGAUUCUUAUUAUCAGAUAUUUUAUGCUUAUGUCUUUUUUGUUUUAUUGUGAUAUUAAAAAGGUGCAGUAUAUAUUUUCAGCGUUAAUUUGAACAAGAAUCCACCAUGUUUGCGUUUAGUGUUCGAGUCACUGCUGUUCAGUGUUCGAGUCACUGCUGUUUAGUGUUCGAGUCACUGCUGCUCAGUGUUCGAGUCACUGCUGCUCAGUGUUCGAGUCACUGCUGUUCACUCUCAGUAGAGUUUUUUUUCUGUCACAUGAAGCACUGACAGCAGCGGUCUCUGCAGUUUCAGACGGUUUGUGAGCUUGGAACUAAACAUUUCUGUCUGGGUGAAAGAAAAUAUAAUGAAACAUCAACAGUUUGCUGCUCUGCUCAUUUAUAAUCUGUCUUUUUAAUAUAAACGUUAACCCCAGUCGGCGGUGAGCGCAGAGACUGGAACCAACAACAGAAGACAUGGUGCAGGGGAACCAGAGAUUUUAAAUUAAGGGGGAUUAAACCCAAACUGUAGUUUUAAAGUACGACACAUCUCAUGAGCUUAAUGUGUCAUUUAAAAAUUAAAGAUGCGUCUGUGUUCAGAGACGUCAGACAGAACUGUGACGUCCCAGCCCAUAAAUCCAUGACUUUGACUAUGCAUCUUCAUUUUGCAAACUGUAACAUGUUGCUGGUUGAAUCUGAAGUCUGCCUCCACGCACCUCCACUCUGAAACGUUUGGUCAUCGCUGCCUUUUGAAACUCAGCAGAUUAACACUUUAUUUUAAGAGACUGCCGUCUUCAGUUUACAUUUUUAUCUGCUCAGUUUAGGACGAAUCGGCAAAUGAAAAAUAUCCCGACCCUCCAGCUGUAAACACAUGAGAACAGUGCCUGUGACUGAUGAUGAUGAUGAUGAUGAUGAUGAUGAUGAUGAUGAUGAGGCAGAGAUAAAUCUGUCUUUAGGAGAAGGAGAGUUAUUGUAUAUUUAUCAAACACUGUUAUUACAACAAAAUGUGUCGCGUAUGUGUGGAAGUCCAUUUCUGCCCAUGUGAUGAAAUUAAACCACCUGUGAGUCAUUAAAAUUCUAACAUUGCUUAGUGUUUCAAAAUAUUGAGUUAACUUCAAAAAUAGUGGCUCAGCGUUUGAAAAUGAGGUGUUAUCUCAAAAUGACAAAACUUCCUCAAACACACACUGAAGUUGAAAUGACUUUGUAUCUUAAAAUAAAGAGAAACUGCCCAAAACUAAACUUGAAAUGAUGAAGAAUUCUCAAAAUAUUAAUCUAAAAAUUAAUGACUUAAAAUGACAAAACUUCGUCUUAGUAUCUCAGAAAGAGAAACUUCCCCAUAAAUAUCUUGAAACAACGAGAAACUCAAAAUUUUUGAAAUAUUAAGUUAUGAUUUUGAAAUACUGCGUCAUUAUUUUGAGAAAUAAUUACUUGAGUUUCAAAUUAUAUUUAUAUAUUAUGUUAAUAUUUUAAGAGAGUUUCAUUAUUUUGAAAUCAUUUCAAGACAAGUCAAUACUUUGCAAAAGUUUUUAUUGAUAGUUUCGGAUUUUUAGUUUUUUAUUCUUUUGAGCUACAAAGUUAUUUUAAGAAGUCUAUUUUGAGAGUUUUCCUUAUUGUGAGACACUAAGUCAUUAUAACAACAAGUCAUUAAUUGAGUUUCUAAUGAUAUUUACAUAUUACCAUACAUUAAUACUGAAGUAUUUAAGUCAUUAUUUCAAGACAAGUCAAUACUCUGCAGAAGUUUCGUUGUAUUGAGAGUUUUCCAUUCUUAUUGGAUACAAAGUCGUCAUUUCAAGAUAAGAAUUUUAAGAGUUUCUCAGUAUUUUCAGAUGAGUCAACACUUUGAGAAAGUUUAUUAUUUACAGAACCUUUUUUUAAAUGACAUAGACGUGAAUGAGCUUCCACACAAACACAAGUAUGAACCCCUCUCUCAUCAGUUCCCGGCAGACUUUACAUUCAUCAGGCGACAGAACGACGUGUCUCGACAGCAGAGAGUUCUGGGAACCGGUUUGUAAAGUUCGUUGAUAGAUCAGAGUGUCAUAUUUUUCCUAGCGUGGCCAUGACACCUGUGUGUGUGUGUGUGUGUGUGUGUGUGUGUGUGUGUGUGUGUGU